rnacentral:misc_RNA from 1 species
UCUGCAACGUCCCUGAAUCCCUUCGCUGGUGGCAAAAGAGACGAUUUGCUCUUUCUAUUUGUCGCAUCCUCAACCUUGGAUCCUUUACCCGGUUGGCCUAGGGUUCUCAAUGGAGUGGGUUGGGCUUUAGUCUGUCCUAGUUUGGGCCUUAGUCUGUAUUAUGUCUAGGUUUCGGAGUUUCUAGAUAGGAUUUUUCCUAUAGUAGGCUUUGGACCAUGUAACUUGGCUUCUAUCAAUGAAAUUUCCUUUUCUCAAUUAAGAACCCUAGGCCAACCGGG